rnacentral:rRNA from 1 species
GACGAACGCUGGCGGCGUGCCUAACACAUGCAAGUUGAGCGACGAACCAGGGCUUGCCCUGGGGCAAAGCAGCGAACGGGUGAGUAACACGUGGGUAACCUGCCCCGAUUACCGGGACAACCCGAGGAAACUCGGGCUAAUACCGGAUGUGCUCGUCAGACCCAAGUCUGACGCGUAAAGGAAGCUUCGGCCUCCGAAUUGGGAGGGGCCCGUGGCCCAUUAGCUAGUUGGUGAGGCAACGGCUCACCAAGGCAUCGAUGGGUAGCUGGUCUGAGAGGACGAUCAGCCACACUGGGACUGAGACACGGCCCAGACUCCUACGGGAGGCAGCAGUGGGGAAUCUUGCGCAAUGCGCGAAAGCGUGACGCAGCAACGCCGCGUGGGGGAAGACGGCCUCGGUG